rnacentral:rRNA from 1 species
AUGAAGGAUUUAGGGGUGGCUGAUGUCAUUCUGAACAUCAAGUUGUUGAGAGAUGAUGAUGGUGGGAUUACAUUGAUUCAAUCUCACUAUGUGGAAAAGGUCUUGAGUCGCUUUGGCUACAGUGACUGCAAGCCCUCUCCAACACCAUAUGAUCCUAGUGUGUUGCUUCGAAACAACCGAAGAAUUGCUAGAGACCAAUUGAAAUAUUCCGAGAUUAUUGGCUCGCUUAUGUACUUAGCCAGUGCUACAAGACCUGACAUCUCUUUUGCUGUUAGCAAACUGAGCCGGUUUGUCUCAAAACCAGGAGAUGUGCAUUGGAAAGCUCUAGAGAGAGUUUUGCGUUAUUUGAAAGGCACUGCGAAUUAUGGAAUUCACUACACUGGGCAUCCAAAGGUGCUUGAAGGAUAUAGUGACUCAAACUGGAUCUCAGAUGCUGAUGAGAUAAAGGCCACGAGCGGAUAUGUAUUCACUCAUGGAGGUGGCGCUGUUUCUUGGAAGUCUUGCAAGCAGACCAUCUUAACGAGGUCAACAAUGGAAGCAGAACUCACAACACUA